UACGAAGGGGGCUAGCGUUGCUCGGAAUCACUGGGCGUAAAGCGCACGUAGGCGGAUUGUUAAGUCAGGGGUGAAAUCCUGGAGCUCAACUCCAGAACUGCCUUUGAUACUGGCGAUCUCGAGUCCGGGAGAGGUGAGUGGAACUGCGAGUGUAGAGGUGAAAUUCGUAGAUAUUCGCAAGAACACCAGUGGCGAAGGCGGCCCACUGGCCCGGUACUGACGCUGAGACGCGAAAGCGUGGGGAGCAAACAGG
rnacentral:rRNA from 1 species